UACGUGUUUCGACAUACAGUGGUGCAGAGU
rnacentral:piRNA from 1 species